UACGGAGGAUCCAAGCGUUAUCCGGAUUUAUUGGGUUUAAAGGGUGCGUAGGCGGUUUAUUAAGUCAGGGGUGAAAGACGGCAGCUUAACUGUCGCAGUGCCUUUGAUACUGAUGAACUUGAAUGUACUAGAAGUAGGCGGAAUGUGACAAGUAGCGGUGAAAUGCAUAGAUAUGUCACAGAACACCGAUUGCGAAGGCAGCUUCCUAUGGUAUUAUUGACGCUGAGGCACGAAAGCGUGGGGAUCAAACAGG
rnacentral:rRNA from 1 species